rnacentral:rRNA from 1 species
AUNUUUAGAGAGUUUGAUCCUGGCUCAGGAUGAACGCUGGCGGCGUGCUUAACACAUGCAAGUC